UGGGGAAUAUUGGACAAUGGGGGAAACCCUGAUCCAGCCAUGCCGCGUGUGUGAUGAAGGCCUUAGGGUUGUAAAGCACUUUUGGCGGGGAAGAUGAUGACGGUACCCGCAGAAUAAGCACCGGCUAACUUCGUGCCAGCAGCCGCGGUAAUACGAAGGGUGCUAGCGUUGUUCGGAAUCACUGGGCGUAAAGCGUGCGUAGGCGGCUAUACAAGUCAGAGGUGAAAGCCUGGAGCUUAACUCCAGAACUGCCUUUGAAACUGUAUGGCUAGAGUGUUAGAGGGGAUAGCGGAAUUUCUAAUGUAGCGGUGAAAUGCGUAGAUAUUAGAAGGAACACCGGCGGCGAAGGCGGCUAUCUGGACAACAACUGACGCUGAGGCACGAAAGCGUGGGGAUCAAACAG
rnacentral:rRNA from 1 species